rnacentral:lncRNA from 1 species
CAGCUCAGCCACGACAUGGUAUAGUUGUUAAAUUAGUCUAAAAUCGAUGCAUGGUGGUCCUCCUCCACAUUUAUCAAAUGUCCAUUUCAAUCUGCUGUUUGGGCUACAUCUUAUUUAUGCCUUAUGGUUUGUACUGGUUUUUAUUUUUUUUAUUUUCUUUUCUUCAAUUCCUCAUUAUUUUGCCCUACUUUAUCUUUUGUACUCUUCUAUCGUCAUUAUUUGUUAAAAGGUUUGGCUGUGACACAUUGGUGCAC